AAUAUAAAAAUUAUUAUUUUUUNUAAAAAUUAUUUAGCAUUAAAAUAAGAAUAUUAAUUGUUUUAUUAUUAGUUAAGAAAGAAUUAUUUUUAUAAUAGUAAAUUAGUACUGUGGAGGAAUUUAAUAAUUAUUAAAAAGAAAAUUUCAAUUAUUGUACCUUGUGUCUCAGGGUUUAUUAAUUAAAAAUUAUUUAUUAAUAAUUUUCUCGAACUUAGAAGAGCUAAUUAUUUAUAAAUUUUAUUGUAAAAAAAAUAUUUUUAAUAAGUAAUUUGUAGUGAAAUGUUAUUCGUUUCUAAAUAUAUCUAGUUUUUUAAGAAAUAGAUUUAAUCUAAUUAAUUUAAUAUAAUUAUUUUAUUUUUUAGCAUAUUAUAUGAAUUAUUAAAUAUCUUAGGGGAUGAGCUUUAAGAUAAAUAUUUAUAAAACAUUAAAUAAAUUUUUGAAUAAAUAGGAUUAGAAAUUUUCAUUUUUAGAAGGGUGUUAUAAUUACUUUAAAAUUUAAAAUUAUUUAUAUAGGUUUUAAGUAUUUUAUUAAAAUUCAAGUUUGAUUUGUUUUUACUAGGUAAUAAUGAUGAAAUUAGUAUAUUAAAAUUGUAUUUUUAAUACUAAAGUUUUAGGUUAAUAAAAGGAAUUCGGCAAAAUAUUUUCUACCUGUUUAAUAAAAACAUGGCCUUUUGAAUAUAAUUUAAGGUCUGACCUGCCCACUGAACUAUUGAAUGGCCGCGGUAAUUUGACCGUGCAAAGGUAGCAUAAUAAUUAGUUUUUUAAUUGAAAGCUGGAAUGAACGGUUUGAUAAGAAAAUAACUGUCUCUUAUUAAUUUAUAUAGAAAUUUAUUUUUAAGUAAAAAAGCUUAAAUUUAAUUAAAAGACGAGAAGACCCUAUAGAGUUUAAUAUAUAUUUAUUAUAUUUUUGUUAGUAUUUUUAGUUUUAUUAUAAAUAUAUAUUUGGUUGGGGUGAUUGAAAAAUUUAAUAAACUUUUUUUAAAAAAUAACACUAAUUAGUGAAUUAUUGAUCCGGUAUGUCCGAUUAUAAGAUAAAAUUACCUUAGGGAUAACAGCGUUAUUUCUCUUGAGAGUUCUAAUCGAAAGGGAAGUUUGCGACCUCGAUGUUGGAUUAAAAUUAAAUUUUGGUGCAGAAGCUAAAAAUUUAGGUCUGUUCGACCUUUAAAAUUUUACAUGAUCUGAGUUUAGACCGGCGUGAGCCAGGUUGGUUUCUAUCUUUAAUACAUUAAAAUACCUUAGUACGAAAGGACCAGGUAUUUAAUAAAUUAUUUAUUUUUUGAGUAACAUU
rnacentral:rRNA from 1 species